rnacentral:rRNA from 1 species
UNUGACUUGAGUGCAGAAGGGGAGAGUGGAAUUCCAUGUGUAGCGGUGAAAUGCGUAGAUAUAUGGAGGANCACCAGUGGCGAAAGCGGCUCUCUGGUCUGUCACUGACGCUGAGGCUCGAAAGCGUGGGUAGCGAACAGGAUUAGAUACCCUGGUAGUCCACGCCGUAAACGAUGAGUGCUAGGUGUUAGGCCCUUUCCGGGGCUUAGUGCCGGAGCUAACGCAAUAAGCACUCCGCCUGGGGAGUACGACCGCAAGGUUGGAACUCAAAGGAAUUGACGGGGGCCCGCACAAGCGGUGGAGCAUGUGGUUUAAUUCGAAGCAACGCGAAGAACCUUACCAGGUCUUGACAUCCCGAUGCUAUUCUUAGAGAUAGGAAGUUACUUCGGUACAUCGGAGACAGGUGGUGCAUGGUUGUCGUCAGCUCGUGUCGUGAGAUGUUGGGUUAAGUCCCGCGACGAGCGCAACCCUUAUUGUUAGUUGCCAUCAUUAAGUUGGGCACUCUAGCGAGACUGCCGGUAAUAAACCGGAGGAAGGUGGGGAUGACGUCAAAUCAUCAUGCCCCUUAUGACCUGGGCUACACACGUGCUACAAUGGUCGGUACAACGAGUUGCGAGCCGGUGACGGCAAGCUAAUCUCUGGAAGCCGAUCUCAGUUCGGAUUGGAGGCUGCAACUCGCCUCCAUGAAGUCGGAAUCGCUAGUAAUCGCGGAUCAGCACGCCGCGGUGAAUACGUUCCCGGGCCUUGUACACACCGCCCGUCACACCACGAGAGUUUGUAACACCCGAAGUCGGUGAGGUAACCUUUUAGGGGCCAGCCGC